rnacentral:rRNA from 1 species
UACGGAGGGGGCUAGCGUUGUCCGAAGUUACUGGGCGUAAAGCGCGCGUAGGCGGGUUGGUAAGUCCGCUGUGAAAGCCCGGAGCUCAACUCCGGAGGGUCGGUGGAUACUGCCAGUCUUGAAGGUGCUAGGGGGAGAUGGAAUUACCGGUGUAGCGGUGAAAUGCGUAGAUAUCGGUAGGAACACCAGUGGCGAAGGCGGUCUCCUGGGGCAUUCUUGACGCUGAUGCGCGAAAGCGUGGGGAGCGAUCCGG